UGGGGAAUAUUGGACAAUGGGCGCAAGCCUGAUCCAGCCAUGCCGCGUGUGUGAAGAAGGCCUUUUGGUUGUAAAGCACUUUAAGCGAGGAGGAGGCUACUUGGAUUAAUACUCUAGGAUAGUGGACGUUACUCGCAGAAUAAGCACCGGCUAACUCUGUGCCAGCAGCCGCGGUAAUACAGAGGGUGCGAGCGUUAAUCGGAUUUACUGGGCGUAAAGCGUGCGUAGGCGGCUUCUUAAGUCGGAUGUGAAAUCCCUGAGCUUAACUUAGGAAUUGCAUUCGAUACUGGGAAGCUAGAGUAUGGGAGAGGAUGGUAGAAUUCCAGGUGUAGCGGUAAAAUGCGUAGAGAUCUGGAGGAAUACCGAUGGCGAAGGCAGCCAUCUGACCUAAUACUGACGCUGAGGUACGAAAGCAUGGGGAGCAAACAGG
rnacentral:rRNA from 1 species